AUGAAAAGCGAGGUGCUCGUUGGCAAGCGGCUAGUGGGAGCAUACGACGGCGGCUGGGUCGCCGCUCUCGGGAAGGACAAGCAGCUUGACGAUGUGAACAUGUUCUCCGGUGUUGAGUUGCUCAUCCACGCAAAGAACAUGAGGAAUGUCUACUCGGGCUCAAAGGUUGUCUUCUCGAAAUCCCCCGUGUCAAGUGACUGCAUCCUCGCCACCAUCCCCCUGCGAAGUAGCAUCGCCGUCUGCAAGAUUGGUUGUCUGGCCGACAGAUGGACAACAAGCAGGUGUAUUGGGCAGAUCCUUAAGGACAUCGUAUUCUACAAUGGAAGAUUGUAUGGCCUCACCGCCUCAAUGGGCCUGAUCAAAUUCAAUAUAGGCGUGAACAAAUACGGCAGGCCUCUGGUCGCUGUUGACGUCGAGUUGCGUAUCCAGAUUGAUAAUGAACCUUUCAUAUGGUCAACUACCAUUGUUGAGCUGCGAGCCAAGCUAGCGAUGGUGCUAGGGAAAUUGCCAUUAUACAACAACAGCCGCGAGCCUUUCUUCAAGGUUUUUGUGCUGGCGGAUGAAUCGAUGACAAAGUAUGCUUGUAAGUGGGAGGAGGUAAUGAGCUUGGGAGACUGUGCCUUAUUUUUGGGGAAAAUGUCCAGGGCGGUUGAUGUGCCAGCAGUUGGACUUGGCAGCGUGGAGAGAAACCACAUCUACGCUGAUGAUAUGACAUACUUGACACGUUUGGAUGGUCAUGGUAAUCGUGUAUAUCCUAUGCUAGACGAAAGUAGUGACAAUGUCGCGCAGAGGGUCAAAUUAGCAGGAUCUUAUGUAGCAGCUCGCGAUCAAACUGGCAUGUGGGUACUCCCUCUUGGCAUAUGGGUACUCCCUCCUUAUUUCUAG
rnacentral:rRNA from 1 species